GUGGGUUGAGCCAUUACCACAAUUUACAAAGGAAAUUGGAGAGUCGCCCAAGUACAGAGGAUUCCUGUUUGAAGAAUAUCAUCAGUUGAGAUUCAGAAACAGGAGUCAUCCACCAGCUAGACCUGAAGAUCUCAUCCAUAUAACACACUACUCAAUUUCUAAUUAGAGGACAAGUUUUAUCUAAUGAAAAGUUCUCUCUAUAUGGAAAGAAACAUACCAAUAAUAUGUAUUACGUCACUCCUAAUAUGUAUGUCGAAGUGUGUGACCACCUCAUUUAUAAUUUAAAUGAGCACAUGACAUUUAUUUUCUAAAUUAUGUUAAACACGUCUUUCACCGUACAAGUCUGAUUCAUUGAAGAGGAAUCUUCAAUUUAUAUCUAUGUGUCUUGCUGCUGCUUGUUGUUACUGAUUCAAAACUGCAGAUCUUGUUUCUCUCUUUGCUUUUUUCUUUUCCGAAUAACGUCAAGUACUACUCCGUCAUAUUGUUUACUUUUGUUGACAAUGCAUCUGUUUUAUAAAAUCUAACUCCCUAUUAAAGCUAUAUGGAAUCCAGAUUAUUGAGAUUUUCUUCUGAACAAAUCCUUGAUACUGCUAAAAAAAUACUUCAGAUCGACAAGUGAGAAAGAGUACUAAUUUAGAUUAAUCUGUAAAUUAUAAUAGUAAAAUGAGGUGAAAUCACGUGAAGUUGAUAAAUUGAAGGAUCCAUGUGACGUGGUUACGUCCCUUUUUCUAUGGGGAGUUAAAUUAUUUGAGUUAAUUAAUAUGUAACUAUACUUAUCCUUUUUAAUAAUGGAAAUCAAUUUUUUGUGUGUAAUCUUGUACUAAUAAGAUUUGUCUUAGCAAUAUUGAAUGUUGUAAGUAAUAAGGUUCUUUAAAAGUCAACAUGGAUAAUUCACUGAUGCCAAUAAUUGAUCUCUCCCCGUUCUUUCUAGGAGAUGAUGAUGGCGAGAGAAAGACAAGCCAAGAAAAUAACAUUUUAAUCACACCAAAUAAUGAAGGAAUCCAUUGUGUAAGAAUGACUUAUUUUUUGGGGUUAAACAAGGAUUUCAAUAGAUUAAAGGAGAAAGAAAAAACAUAAGUUCAUUACAGGGGUUGAGGGGCAUUCCCCACAGGAAAAGUAUUGGCCGUUAGUAUUGCCGUUUUAGUAUAAAAUUGUUCUAACAAAAAAAGUUCUCAAUAUGUCUGCUUGUAACGUUACUAAGGCGCACACAGGGGAACUUCAAAAAUAAUAAUGGGGUCCCCAAAGCUUCAUCCCUAACCUAAGAAGACUUUCAAGAUGAAUAGCAUUAAAGAGCCUUUUUUUAGGUAAGAAUUUAAUUUUGGGAGAAAUAUAAAGAAAGGAGAAGCAUAAUGGUUUUUUAAAAUUUUUGUUUAUUAACUAUGGGGUUUAUGUUUAUAAGAUGACAUAAAAAAUAAUUUAUUUUGUCAUGUCAAAUUUAUGUUAAUAAUAUUCAAUGACGAUUGAUAUCUACUUAAGAUAGAGAGUCCCACUAUGCCCAAGACUAUGAGGUUCUUAGCUCCACUUAAUUUCUUCCUUGUAAAUAUCAUUUUCUGUACCACAUUUUGUAAGAUCAGAAAAUGCUUAUAAAUUAAACUCAAAAGAAAAUCCAAAUAUAAGACUAAGAAGAGUGAAGAGAAUUAAGAAAAAUAUCAUGGCUAGUUUUGAUAUUCCAACAAUUGAUGUUUCUCCAUUUUUUAGAUCAGAUGAAAAUGGAGAAGGGAAAACGAAGGCUAUUGAGCAAAUUAGAGAAGCUUGUGUUAACUUUGGUUUCUUCCAAAUUGUGAAUCAUGGAAUUCCUUUGGAGUUGUUGAGCCAAACCAUGGAUAUGUAUAAGAAUUUCUUUGCUUGUUCUGAUGAAGAAAAACUCGCGGUACCUUCUGAUAAUUAUUUAAAAAGCACAAAGAAUUCAGUUGAGAACUUGGUGUUUCGUUUUCCAUUCUCUGUCGUGGAUGUCUGCCCCAACAAACUACCUCAUUUCAAGUACUAAUAUAUUCUCUCUUGAUUGCAACUCAAAUUAGUUGUUUCUAGUUUUUUGCAUUUUCAGAAUGUUGCCUAAUAAAUAUGUUUUGAUAUUGUUAGGCAAGUAUUGGAUGAUAUGAUUUCCCAGUUCACAAAAUUAGGAGUUGUGUUGGAAGGAAUCAUAAGUGAGUGUCUUGGCCUCCCUCCUGACUUCCUACCAAACUACAGAAAUGAUCGGUCUGGGGAUUCGUUGCUCGGACUCCACUAUUUACCAGUGAUGACAACAUUGGAAAACCUCCACAUGAAGAUCUUGGCUUCUUCACCAUUCUCUACCAGGAUGAAGUUAAAGGCCUUGAGGUGCUUAAAGAUGACCACUGGAUUCCCAUAGCGCCUUCCAAACACAAACUAAUUGUUAACAUUGGUGAUGUCAUUCAGGUACUUAUAACUCCACUCUUGGUUGGUUAUAGAUUUCACAUUUACCACUAUCCCAAAAUUUUAACUUUUUUUUUUUUUUAAUGUUAUUGACAUAAAUAAAAAAGGUCCUAAGCAACAAUAAAUUCAAGAGUGCAACUCACAGAGCAGUGAGCCCAAGUGAAACAGACCGUUACUCGUACGCGUUCUUCUAUAAUGUGCAAGGAGCCAAGUGGGUUGAGCCAUUACCACAAUUUACAGAGGAAAUUGGAGAGUCGCCAAAGUACAGAGGAUUCCUGUUUGAAGAAUAUCAUCAGCUGAGAAUCAAAAACAGGAGUAAUCCACCAGAUAGACCUGAAGAUCUCAUCCAUAUAACCCACUACUCAAUUUCUAAUUAGAGGACAAGUUUUAUCUAAUGAAAAGUUCUCUCUAUAUGGAAAGAAACAUAGCAAUAAUAUGUAUGUUGAAUAUGUAUCGUGACCAUCUCAAUUAAAAAUUUAAAUUGUUAGGCAGCACAUGACUGUUAUUUCUUAAUUAUGUUUAACACGUCUUUUCAAUUUAUAUCUAUCUGUGCUACAGCUGUUUGUCGUUACUAAUUUAAAAUACUCAAAUUGCAGAUACUGCGAUCUUGUUUCUUUCUUUUCCGAAUAACGUCAAGUACUACUCCUUCAUAUUGUUUACUCUAGUUUGUCCCUUUCCAUGGUUCUGCAAAGGGAGUUAAAUUAUUUGAUAUGAUUAAUAUUUAACCAUACUUAUGUGUAAUCUUGUGCUAAUAAGAUUUAGGUAUAUUACAUAAACAUGACCUUUGACUUGACGUCAGCGGACAACUAUUACCUUUAACUUUGGGUGUACACAAGUAGACACUUAAACUUUUCUUAUAAAAUUGACAAAUAAACACAUUCGUCCUACAUGGCACCCUACAUGGCAAUUUUUGUGUCCAACGUGACGGCCUACGUGUAUUAUGUCACGUAGGACACAUGUGUCUACUUGUUCUAUUUUGUAGUUUAAGUGUCUAUUUGUGCACACUCAAAGUUGGAGGGCAUAGUUGUCCGCUGAAGCCAAGUUAAGGGUCGUGUUUAUGUAUUAUGCCUAAGAUUUAUCUUAGCCAUCUCACAAAACCAAAUUAUUGAUUGAUUUUUAUCAACAUCUUGGUUGCACGAGUACUAUUGCAAGUCCACAUGGCUAUUUUUUAAGUCAAUCCAAACGGACUCUAAAUCAUCUACUAUAUAAGUAAAAAGACACCAUAAAUGAACAUAUAAUCUAUAAAACUUAAUAAAUAAUUAGCCUAUAAUAAAUACUAUAUCCAAACGCAUGGUUAAUAGUAUAUAUCUCAACACCUCUGAUCUAGUGUACUUUGCCCAUGUUCAGUGGUUCGCUGACACCGUUGUUUAAUUUUAGGCAUCCUAUAUAUGUGGCAAUUCACAUCCUACAUGGCGUUCUAUAUGUGUAAUAUGCCACAUAGGAUGAACGUGUAUUCUUGUUUAAUUUUUUAAUUAGUUUAAGUGUCUACCUGUGUACAUUCAAAGUUGGACAGUUAUCAACCGAAGCUAAAUUAAAAGACACAUUUGUGUAUUAUGCCUUUUAAAUUUAUGUCAGAGCUUUCCAGAAAUUCAAGUAUUAUUUAUAUGGCCAUAUGGGGCAGAACAGAAAUGAUUAGGGGCUAAUUAAUUUUAAAUUCUUCUUAACUAUUUUAUUUGAGUGAAUAAUUGAUACUUGUCUAUUGAGAGUGGAGAAAAUUAAGGAAGACAUGAUAGCUAGUUUUGAUAUUCCAACAAUUGAUGUUUCUCCGUUUUAUAGAUCAGAGGGAAAUGAAGAAGGGAAAAAGAAGGCUUUUGAGCAAAUGAAAGAAGCUUGUAUUAACUAUGGUUUCUUCCAGAUUGCGAAUCACGAAAUUCCUUUGGAGUUGUUGAGCAGAACGAUGGAUAUGUAUAAGACUUUUUUUGCUUCUUCAGAUGAAGAAAAACUGUUGGUACCUAAUAAUUAUUUCAAAAGCACACAGAAUCCAGCUGAGACUUAUGAGCAUUUUGUGUUUCGUCUUUCAUCCUCUGUCGUCAAUGUCUGCCCCAAAAAUCCACCUCAUUUCAAGUAAUUCUUUAUUUUAUUUACGGUAUAUUGUAUCUGAAAUUGCAGUUGUUUGUGAAAUAAAUAUGUUUUUUUGCCUUAGGGAAUUAUUGGAGGAGAUGGCUUCGCAUUUCAAAAAAUUAGGAGUUGUGUUGGAAGGAAUCAUAAGUGAGUGUGUGGGGCUCCCUCCUAACUUCCUAACAAACUAUAAAAAUGAUGAGUCUCGGGAUACCUUGAUCGGCCUCCACUACUUUCCAGCUACAGAAAACGACAACACAGGAAAAACUGCACACGAAGAUCCUGGCUGCUUCACCGUUGUCUACCAGGAUGAAAUCGGAGGCCUUGAGGUGCACAAAGAUGACCAGUGGAUACCCAUAGCGCCUUCCAAAGACAAACUAGUUGUUAACAUUGGAGAUGUUAUUCAGGUAAUUAUUGUUCCGCACCGCUGCUCACAGUUAUCAUCCAAAAAUUUGAAGAAUCUUUUCUUUUAUGUCGAAGGUGCUAAGCAACAAUAGAUUCAAGAGUGCAACUCACAGAGUGGUGAGACCAAGAGAAGCAAACCGUUACUCGUGCACUUUCUUCUAUAACGUGCAAGGAGACAAGUGGGUUGAGCCAUUACCACAGUUUACAGAGGAAAUUGGAGAGUCGCCCAAGUACAGAGGAUUCCUCUUCGGAGAAUAUAUGCAGUUGAGAAUCAAAAACAUGACUCAUCCACCAGCUAGACCUCAAGAUCUCAUCCAUAUAACACACUACUCAAUUUCUAUGUCAUGAAAUGUUUUCUCUUUAUAUGGCAAGAAACAUAGCAAGAAAAAUAAUAUGUGUAUGCAGUUGUUGUUUUCUUUCUUUCUUUCUUUUUUUCUUUUCCGAAUAACGUCAACUACUCCUUUCAUAUUGUUUACUCUUGUUAAAAUUUUAAAUUGUUAAAGAGCAUACAAUUAUUUUAUUAAUUAUGUUAAACACGUACAAGCCUGAUUCAUAGAAUCCUCUAUGUGUCUUGCUGCUGUCAAUUUGAAAUACUGCACAUCUUAUUUCUUCUCCGAAUAACACGUCGGUCAAGUACUACUCCUUCAUAUUGUUUACUUUAGUUUGUCCCUUUCUAUGGUUCGGCAAAGGGAGUUAAAUUAUUUGAUUGGAUUAGUCCUUAACCAUAUUUAGUGGCGGUAGAGAAGAUUAGGAAAGUGACACUUUACGAAACCCUAAGCUUAAGGAAAGUUUUAUAGGGAAGGAAUUCGGGAACUUGCCCGAAAUGGGCCCUAUCUUGUUUAUAUGCUUAUUUGUUAAUUGGAUUUGGACAUUAGGUCCAAAUGAGUGAUGUAAUUGUUCUCUUUCAUAUCAAUAAAGCUGAAAAAUUUAAACUAAAAUAAAAUAAUAAAAAUACUAGGUAUCUCCCCUUUCUUUCUAAGAUUAAGAGAUGAAAACUAUGAGAGAAUUGAUAAACGAAGCAUGUUGUCGAUAUGGAUUUGACUAUUUUUACCAAAUUAUCAAUUAAUAUCGUCAUACAGUUUAAGAAGAAGACGGGAGGUGAGAGGCAUUAAUUUAAAAAAUAAUAAUUUAUUCUUUUGUUAAAUUUAAUUAGAGUUUUUUAAAAAUUGGAUCCAAGCGCUUCAUGUUAUCAUUUCAUUGGUCCACCUGCUAUGUGUACACAAUUUAUUAUUUUAUGUCUAAUAGAUAUAAACUUUUUAAGAUUAAAGUGGUAAAUGAAAUAUUAAGGGCACAUAUGACUUAAUUUUUGAGUUUUUUAAAAAAUUAUGACAAAGCUAGCAAUCCAGAAACAGAAAAUCAAUAGUUGACUUCAGUUUUGCUUUAUAAAGAGGUUAAGAACAUCAUUGAGAGUCAAGAGAAUCAACAUGGCUAAUUUUGAUAUUCCAACAAUUGAUGUUUCUCCAUUUAUUAGAUCAGAGGAAAAUGAAGAAGGGAAAAAGAAGUCUAUUGAACAAAUGAGAGAAGCUUGUGUUAACUAUGGUUUCUUCCAAAUUGCGAAUCACGGAAUUCCUUUGGAGUUGUUGAGCAGAAUCAUGGAUAUGUACAAGACUUUCUUUGCUUCUUCAGAUGAAGAAAAACUAUCGGUACCUUCUGAUACUUAUUUCAAAAGCACAAAGAAAUCAGCUGGGACUUAUGAGCAGCUAUUGUUUCAUCUUUCAUCCUCCGGCUUCAAUGUCUGCCCCGAAAAUCCACCUCAUUUCAAGUAAUAUUUUACUAAUUUAUUUCCGUUUAUAGCCCUAUUCUCUUUUGAUUGGAAAUUGUUUCUAGUUUAAGUGAUUCCCUGUUAUGGUGAUUUCACUUAAAUGAUAAGGUAGGAAUGUUGUUUGUGAAAUAAAUAUGUUUUGAUAUUCUUAGGCAAGUAUUGGAGGAGAUGGCUUCGCAUUUCACAAAAUUAGGAUUUGUAUUGGGGAGAAUCAUAAGUGAGUGUCUGGGCCUCCCUCCUAACUUCCUAGCAAACUACAGAAAUGAUCAGGCUAGGGAUUUCUUGCUCGGCAUCCACUACAGUCCAGCGACAGAAGCUGAGAACGUAGGAAAAUCCGCACACAAAGAUCCUGGCUGCAUCACCAUUCUCUACCAGGCUGAAGUCGGAGGUCUUCAGGUUCACAAAGAUGAACAGUGGAUUCCCAUAGCGCCUUCGAAAGACAAACUAGUAGUUAAUAUUGGUGAUGUCAUUCAGGUAAUUAUAGUUUGGUUAUUCCAAGAGUUUGAUGUCACAGUUAUCAUUUUCCCAAAAUUUUCGAGGAGUCAACAUUUUUAUUUUGUGUUGACAUAUUAAAAAGGUGCUAAGCAACAAUAAAUUCAAGAGUGCAUCGCACAGGGUGAUCAGACCAAGAGAAACAAACCGUUACUCGUGUGCUUUCUUCUAUAACGUGCAAGGAGACAAGUGGGUUGAGCCAUUACCACAAUGCACCAAGGAAAUUGGAGAAUCGCCCAAGUACAGAGGAUUCCUCUUUAAAGAAUAUGUGCAGUUGAGACAGAGAGACGAGACUCAUCCACCAGCUAGACCUGAAGAUCAAUUCAAUAUAACCCACUACUCAAUUUUCUAAUUAGAGGACAAGUCUAUAUGGAAAGAAACAUAGCAUUAAUAUGUAUGUCAAAGUGUGUGAUUAUCUCAUUUAAACUGUUACUGGGGACACAAUUAUUUUCUUAAUUAUGUUAACACGUCUUUGAUCGUACAAGCCUGAUUCUUUGAAGAGGAAUCCUCAAUGCACUGUUUGUUGUUACUGAUUUAAAAUAAUCAAAUUGCAGACUUGUUUGUUUCUUUCCUUUUUUCUUUUCUGAAUAAUGUCAAGUACUCCUUUCAUAUUGUUUACUCUAGUUUUAGACACCAAUGCAUAUUACCUAAUGGCUAAUAACAUUAAAAAUAAGAAAACAAAAGGCUAUUAAUUUGCCGAUCAGGUGGGCAGGCACAUUAUGAUUUUUUAUUGGUUUUGGAAUUUUGGAUCAGAGUUUGCUGAUCUGUUGUAUUUUGAUAAUUGGUUACCUUGAUUCGAUAAGAUAUGCUUACUGGCUUUUGAAUUUUUUUAAAUUUUUUGGCUUUUGGAAUUUUGGAUCAAGACAUGAACAGACAGGCAAUGGAAAAUGACAUCCAGCGACCAAAAAAAACAAAAAGAACACAUGUCAUAAAUCUAAAUUAAUGGUUGAGAUUUAAUCACUUGAAUCUCUUGUCCAAAUAAGAACUUGGAGAAAUGAAGAGAUGCCAAAUUUAACUAACUUCAACACCAGAAAAUGCUUAUAAAAUAAACUCAAAAGAACAUCCAAAUAUAAGACGAAGAACGACAUUGAAGAGAAAAUUAAGGAAAACAUCAAUAUGGCAAGUUUUGAUAUUCCAACAAUUGAUGUUUCUCCAUUUUUUAAAUCAGAGGAAAAUGAAGAAGGGAAAAAGAAGGCUAUGGAGCAAAUUAAAGAAGCUUGCGUUAACUAUGGUUUCUUUCAGAUUGUGAAUCACGGAAUUCCUUCAGACUUGUUGAGUAGAACCAUCGAUAUGUACAAAACUUUCUUUGCCUGUUCGGAUGAAGAAAAGCUGUCGGUACCUGAUAAUUAUUUAAAAAGCACACCGAAUUCAGCUGAUACUUUUGAGCACUUGUGGUUUCGUUUUCCGUUCUCUGGCUUCAAUAACUGCCGCAGCAUUGCACCUCAUUUCAAGUAAUGUUUCCGCUAUAUUAUCCCUCAAAUUAACUGCUGAUCCUCUGUUAUGGUGUUUCCAAUAAGAACUAACAUUUUAAUUUGCAUGUGAUAUUCUUAGGAAAGUAUUGGAGGAGAUGGUUUCCCAUUUCACAAAAUUAGGAGUUGUGUUGGAAGGAAUCAUAAGUGAGUGUCUUGGACUCCCUCCUGACUUCCUAUCAAACUACAGAAAUGAUCGUUCUCGGGACUCAUUGAUGGGCCUCCACUACUUUCCAGCGACAGAAGAUGACAACACAGGAAAACCUGCACAUGAAGAUCCUGGCUGCUUCACUAUUCUCUACCAGGAUGAAAUCGGAGGCCUUCAGGUGCACAAAGAUGACCAGUGGAUAUCCAUAGCGCCUUCCAAAAACAAACUAGUUGUUAACAUUGGUGAUGUCAUUCAGGCAUUUAUAAUUCCACUCUUGGUUAUAGAUUUCACAUUUACCAUUAUCCCAAAAUUUUAACUUCUUAUGUUGUUGACAUAUAAAAAGGUGCUAAGCAACAAUAAAUUCAAGAGUGCAACUCACAAAGUGGUGAGAUCAAGUGAAACAAACCGUUACUCGUACGUGUUCUUCUAUAAUGUGCACGGAGACAAGUGGGUUGAGCCAUUACCACAAUUUACAAAGGAAAUUGGAGAGUCGCCCAAGUACAGAGGAUUCGUGUUUGAAGAAUAUCAUCAGUUGAGAUUCAGAAACAGGAGUCAUCCACCAGCUAGACCUGAAGAUCUCAUCCAUAUAACACACUACUCAAUUUCUAAUUAGAGGACAAGUUUUAUCUAAUGAAAAGUUCUCUCUAUAUGGAAAGAAACAUACCAAUAAUAUGUAUUACGUCACUC
rnacentral:lncRNA from 1 species